rnacentral:rRNA from 1 species
AUGUUUCCUUUCAAGUUUAAGAGGAAGCAAUUUCCUAUAAGUCUUAGCUUUGCUAUGACGAUUAACAAGGCUCAAGGGCAGACCAUCCCCAUUGUUGGUGUGUAUCUACCUAAUCCAGUGUUCUCUCAUGGUCAACUCUAUGUUGCUUUGUCUCGAGCCACCGCAAAGAGAAACAUUAAAAUACUUAUUCAGAAGGAGAAGCCAAAGGAUAAGGCCAACAAGCAACAUAACAACCCGAAGAAGUGUAAAAGACCGACCGUGUCGUUGCUGACCUCAAUGAAGAACAUUGUCUACAAGGAAAUACUUAGAGGCUGA